rnacentral:rRNA from 1 species
CGGGUGAGUAAUGCGUGACCAACCUGCCCCAUGCUCCAGAAUAGCUCUUGGAAACGGGUGGUAAUGCUGGAUGCUCCAACUUGACGCAUGUCUUGUUGGGAAAGUGUUUAGUGGCAUGGGAUGGGGUCGCGUCCUAUCAGCUUGUAGGCGGGGUAAUGGCCCACCUAGGCUUCGACGGGUAGCCGGCCUGAGAGGGCGGACGGCCACAUUGGGACUGAGAUACGGCCCAGACUCCUACGGGAGGCAGCANCA